UACAGAGGUCUCAAGCGUUGUUCGGAUUCAUUGGGCGUAAAGGGUGUGUAGGUGGCGCCGUAAGUCGGGUGUGAAAUUUCGGAGCUUAACUCCGAAACUGCAUUCGAUACUGCGGUGCUUGAGGACUGGAGAGGAGACUGGAAUUCAUGGUGUAGCAGUGAAAUGCGUAGAGAUCAUGAGGAAGACCAGUGGCGAAGGCGGGUCUCUGAACAGUUCCUGACACUGAGACACGAAGGCCAGGGGA
rnacentral:rRNA from 1 species